UUGAUCUUCAAUUAGACAGUUUUAAUUGACACAAUGUAUCUACACAGUGAAAAGCAUUCAUUAUUUCCCCACUCCAGAAGUCUGCUCUACGUCUGCUCCCGUGAACUGCUAGCAUUAUAUGUGAGUUAAACUCUGUUAAACUCAGAGGAGUUGAUUUGGACACAGCGAGUUUGGGGGGUACCAAAGGGCAUCACAGUAGAGUCCUCUAGAAGUGUUGAUAAUAGAGUCCUCUAGAUGUGUUGUAAUAAUAGAGUCCUCUAGAAGUGUUAAUAGUAGAGUCCUCUAGAUGUGUUGAUAAUAGAGUCCUCUAGAAGUGUUAAUAGUAGAGUCCUCUAGAAGUGUUGAUAAUAGAGUCCUCUAGAAAUGUGUUAAUAAUAGAGUCCUCUAGAAGUGUUAAUAUUAGAGUCUUCUAGAUGUGUUGAUAAUAGAGUCCUCUAGAAGUGUUAAUAUUAGAGACCUCUAGAUGUGUUGAUAAUAGAGUCCUCUAGAAGUGUUGAUAAUAGAGUCCUCUAGAAGUGUUGAUAAUAGAGUCCUCUAGAAGUAUUAAUAUUAGAGUCCUCUAGAAGUGUUGAUAAUAGAGUCCUCUAGAAGUGUUAAUAAUAGAAUCCUCUAGACAUGUUGUAAUAUUAGAGUCCUCUAGACCUGUUGAUAAUAGAGUCCUCUAGAAGUGUUGAUAAUAUAGUCCUCUAGAAGUGUUAAUAAUAGAGUCCUCUAGAAGUGUUAAUAAUAUAAUCCUCUAGACAUGUUGUAAUAAUAGAGUCCUCUAGAAGUGUCAAUAUUAGAGUCCUCUAUAUGUGUUGUAAUAAUAGAGUCCUCUAGAUGUGUUAAUAUUAGAGACCUCUAGAUGUGUUGAUAAUAGAGUCCUCUAGAAGUGUUGAUAAUAGAGUCCUCUAGAAUGUUAAUAAUAGAAUCCUCUAGACAUGUUGUAAUAUUAGAGUCCUCUAGACCUGUUGAUAAUAGAGUCCUCUAGAAGUGUUGAUAAUAUAGUCCUCUAGAAGUGUUAAUAAUAGAGUCCUCUAGAAGUGUUGAUAAUAGAGUCCUCUAUACGUGUUGAUAAUAGAGUCCUCUAGAUGUGUCAAUAAUAGAGUCCUCUAGAAGUGUUGAUAAUAUAGUCCUCUAGAAGUGUUGAUAAUAGAGUCCUCUAGAAGUGUUGAUAAUAGAGUCCUCUAGAAGUAUUAA
ensembl:lncRNA